ACCUGCUUAAGAAUACUUCUUGGGGGAUAGGACUCCUUCAUGUGAGCCAGAGUCCUGUGGCCUGUGUGACACCAAGGGGUUGAAGCAAUCAGUUGCGUAACAGUAUGAUGCAGGUUUCUGUUUCAGAAAAAUGACUACGAUCUCCAGGUCAUUCUAUUCCGUUUAGAAGAGAAGAAAGUUACCAAGAACUCAAACUUGCAGAUCCAGAAGGGAAAGGGCAAGAUUCCAAAAGCAGAUAGAAACCAAUGAGACAGUAAUUAAAGGGGACCCAAGGACCAGCUUAUCUUUGAUCCACUCCAGAAAACCCCUGGGAGAAAAAAAAAAAAAAUUGCAGGAUGUAGGCAGUGGUACCAGAGACAAAAAGGCAGCCAAAGUUAAAUUUUGGAAGGUGGAAAACUAUGGCAGUUAGGAGCACAGCACUUGCAGUUUACUAGCUGAG
rnacentral:lncRNA from 1 species